UACGUAGGCAGCAAGCGUUGUUCGGAGUUACUGGGCGUAAAGGGUGUGUAGGCGGUUCCUUAAGUUUGCUGUGAAAUCUCCCGGCUUAACCGGGAGGGUGCGGUGAAUACUGAGGGACUAGAGUACGGGAGAGGAAAGUGGAAUUCCUGGUGUAGCGGUGAAAUGCGCAGAUAUCAGGAAGAACACCCGUGGCUAAGGCGGCUCUCUAGUACGGUACUGACGCUGAGACGCGAAAGCGUGGGGAGCGAACAGG
rnacentral:rRNA from 1 species